rnacentral:rRNA from 1 species
GACGAACCGAGCGAACGUUGUUCGGAAUCACUGGGCUUAAAGGGCGCGUAGGCGGGUGCUCAAGUCUGUGGUGAAAUCCUCCGGCUCAACCGGAGAACUGCCAUGGAUACUGGGCGUCUCGAGUGUGGUAGGGGUAUGCGGAACUAUCGGUGGAGCGGUGAAAUGCGUUGAUAUCGAUAGGAACUCCGGUGGCGAAGGCGGCAUACUGGACCACCACUGACGCUGAUGCGCGAAAGCCAGGGGAGCAAACAGG